rfam:Ictidomys tridecemlineatus contig024747, whole genome shotgun sequence.
AGAGUUGUGGCUCAGUGGUAGAGCACUUGCCUAGCAGGCAUGAGGCAAUGGGUUCGAUCCCCAGCACCACAU